CAGGGGAAUUACGUGCUGCUCGCGGAGAAUGAGUGGGUGCUGCGGCUGCGCCCCACCUACGCGCUGAGGGCGAAGUUGUGACUCCCGCGCGCCCCAGAGAUAAAACCUAUUUCCGCUGCAGCUUCCAGUAGGCCCCCUGCCACCGCUGAAAACUGCCUGAAGCGUACGCUCCCACCUGCUCCCCCCACCCCGCAGUCAUGCAAGACUCCCAGGGGGCAAGGUGCACCCCACUCCUGCAGACGUGUAGGCGGAUUCACCUUCGAAAGCGGGUGCAAGCUAGCUAUUGCAAUACGGUAAAAAUUCCAGCCAGGCCGGCUACUACCGCGGAGACACGUAAUCAUGCAGGACAAGUCUUCUUGCUCAUCAUCUUUUCCAAAGGACGCUGCCGAACCGUUUGAACAGUUUGCCCCAGGAAUUGAGCAACUCUCAGGGUGAUUUUAAGCAACGUUUACUCGUCCUCUGGAGUUUCAGUGUUGGGCAAGGGUUCUGUGGCCCGGUGGGCGGGGGUGCUCCGAACAGCACCCCGGACUCCUGCAGCCUCCCGGGGCCCACCUGCGAUCCGUGGUGCGGGAGAACAGGGUGGCGGAGCAGGUCGGUCUGGAGGUUUGUCCUGGGGCUGCCGUCCCCUCCCCGCCCCCUGAGCCUGCCCCUGCCCCACAAACAGCAAAUAAGGACCCUAGCAGAUUGAGUCAUCUGCCGGAAGGCCCACUCCCCCUAACCCCUGCCAGGUUUAGCCCGCCCCAGGAGAGUUCCGGGUAGAGCUAGUCCAGGAGUAGCUGCGAGGGGCGGGAGAGGCGGCACCCACCCCCCACCCCGCCCUCCAGCGUAGGGUCUGGGACCUAGGGAGGGUGGGGAGCCAGGGGAGCAAGCACUCGGCACGUACCGUCCUGCUCACCGGGGGGCUCUUCUUAGGGCAGCGACCUAUCAGGCUUCGCGGACAACGCCUGAAAUUCGCCAGCAAGAUGAGGAAAAGGAAACUGAAAGUCUAAGCCGACUAGCGGACGUGGUGCCUUCCAGCCCAGUCCCGCCUCCAUUUGCCUUUCUCACUCGACUUCUCUGGGCUUUCUUCUUAUGCUGAGAAAGUUUGAUGGCCUACCAUUCACUGUGUUAGGCCCAGAGGCCUCGACACCCCAUGAGGGAGCAGAAAGCUAGCUAAGGACAAAGCAGAAGCUGACACCCCACAACCCCCUCCCCCAGAUGGGAUAUGUGUGACAUUCCUCAGGCACUCCUGGCUGUCCUAAAGCUAGGGAAAGGAAAAACAAAUAGUUACCUUACAGAGAUCACAAUCCUGCAAGACUGGAGUCUCCCUCGGUUUACAAAGGUCUUAGCAAUUUGUAAGAAUAAAGCAUUACUAUCAAUAACCUAGCUUCCA
rnacentral:lncRNA from 1 species